GUGUAAUGAUGAAUUUAUUCCUGAAACCAUCAUAUGUUGAUAUAAAACGAGCUUUUUAAAACUGAACACC